rnacentral:rRNA from 1 species
UACGUAGGGUGCAAGCGUUGUCCGGAAUUAUUGGGCGUAAAGGGCUCGUAGGCGGUCCAUCACGUCGGGAGUGAAAAGCUGGGGCUUAACCCCAGUCCUGCUUCCGAUACGGGUGGACUAGAGGUAGGCAGGGGAGAACGGAAUUCCUGGUGUAGCGGUGGAAUGCGCAGAUAUCAGGAGGAACACCGAUGGCGAAGGCAGGUCUCUGGGCCAUUACUGACACUGAGAAGCGAAAGCAUGGGGAGCGAACAGG